rnacentral:rRNA from 1 species
AUGGCCCGUUACUGGUGGAGUAGCUCACUUGAUCGUCGGUCUUUACAUUGGACGGAUUGGGACACGCUUGCUUCUCCGAAAGUGAAAGGAGGGAUGGGUUUUAGAGAUCUACAAAUAUUCAAUCUGGCCCUACUAGGAAAACAUGGCUGGAGACUCGUCACGAGCCCGGAGUCGCUCUGUGCACGGGUGCUCAAAGGGAAGUACUUCCCGACGACGACUUUCCUCGAAGCUUCUUCACCAUCCCACGCGUCCUCCACUUGGCGUGCAAUCUUGGCGGGAAAGGAA